rnacentral:tRNA from 1 species
CACCAGAUGGCCGACAAUAGGCAUAAGUCUUUUAAACUUAUUAUAGAAUUAUCUUCAGGUGA